rnacentral:rRNA from 1 species
GACGUAGGGCGCGAGCGUUGUCCGGAUUUAUUGGGCGUAAAGAGCUCGUAGGCGGCUUGUCGCGUCGUUCGUGAAAACCCACGGCUCAACUGUGGGCUUGCGGUCGAUACGGGCAGGCUGGAGUUCGGUAGGGGAGACUGGAAUUCCUGGUGUAGCGGUGAAAUGCGCAGAUAUCAGGAAGAACACCCGUGGCUAAGGCGGUUCUCUAGUACGGUACUGACGCUGAGACGCGAAAGCGUGGGGAGCAAACAGG